rnacentral:rRNA from 1 species
GACGAACCGAGCGAACGUUGUUCGGAAUCACUGGGCUUAAAGGGCGCGUAGGCGGGUGCUCAAGUCCGGGGUGAAAUCCUCCAGCUCAACUGGAGAACUGCCUCGGAUACUGGGCGUCUCGAGUGUGGUAGGGGUAUGCGGAACUAUCGGUGGAGCGGUGAAAUGCGUUGAUAUCGAUAGGAACUCCGGUGGCGAAGGCGGCAUACUGAACCACCACUGACGCUGAUGCGCGAAAGCCAGGGGAGCAAACGGG